GUGACUGUUAAAGGCAGCCUCAAUUAGUGAGAUGCAGGUCAUGAUGGAAAUGGGCCAGAUUGGAGGGGCCCCAUGGAAACAGAAUCCACAGGACUUGGAUACAGAAGGAUGAAGAUGAUUCCAGGGUGACUCUGAGAACCCAGCUGGGGGGCUGUGGGAUGAGGGUUACAUUAACAGAAAAAGGGAAGGUUAUGGAGGAUGGUGAGCCUGGCUGACGCAUACAUGAUUAUUCCUCAAAGAUUUUAAAUAAACAACUAGGAUGUGACCUCUAAAGAAGGUUAAUCCCGACUUCUGGCCUUCCACUGAGAAAUCUUUCCUCUUCAAAAACAGACUUGUCAUUAUACCCACCCACAGUACUCUACACUUCUUCACAACAUUUAUCCCAGCUCUGGUUAA